AACGAACGCUGGCGGCAUGCCUAACACAUGCAAGUCGAGCGAUCAUUUCGGUGCUAGCUGCGGACGGGGGAUUAACGCGUGGUAACUUGCCCUUUUCUACGGUAUAUGCCAGGGGGACUGGGGGUAAUACCGCAUACGCCCUUAUGGGGUAAGAUUUAUCGGUGAAUGAUCGGGCCGCGUUGGGUUCGGUAGUUGGUGUAGUAAUGGACCACCAAGCCGAAGAUCCAUAGCUGGUUUGAGAGGAUGAUCAGCCACACUGGGACUGAGACACGGACCAGACUCCCAGGGGAGGAAGCAGUGGGGACUCUUAGACAAUGGGGGCAACACUGAUCUAGCCAUGCCGCGUGAGUGAUGAAGGACUUAGGGUUGUAAAGCUCUUUCAGCUGGGAAGAUAAUGACGGUACCAGAAGAAGAAGCCCCGGCUAACUCCGUG
rnacentral:rRNA from 1 species